UGGCUGCACCUAGACAUCAACAAGCCUUUAUGGAGUGCCUGUUGUAUGCCAGGUCCUCAGAAGACAGAGAGGUGACCCCAAGACAGAUGCAGGCCCUGCCCUCCCGGCAUGUCCAGUCUAGCGAGCAAUGAAGAGGAGUGAGAAACUAUUAAGGUUGCUGUUUCAGAUGACAGCCUAUCAGGAAGGGGGGACUGGAGUUCAAAAACCCCCAGAGGGGCUAGAUGAUCUGGAGGAGGGGCAGCUGGGCAGGUAGGAGUCAACUUGAUUGAUGGGGUGCAGGAAGUGUGCUCUAGGUGGAGGGAAGAGCAUGCGCAAGGGCCCUGAGGCAGGAUGGAGCCUGGACAGGCUGGGGCCUCACUGUGUGCACAGGGCCACGUCAUGAAUUCCUCUGUAGAAAAAAACAUCACAUUUAAAUUGUGGUUUAUAACUGUAUAAGCAUCAGGACGAGGGUAGUCCAGGCUAGAUUCAUUAUUGUAUAUUCAUUAUUAUUGGAUUCAUUUUUUUCUUCUGAUUUUAAAAAACUCAAACGUUUUGGUGGCCCCUCCACAGUGCUGGCCCUGAGCAUGGGGACCUGUGGGCCCCAGAUGUGCGCUGGCUGACUCCCCUCCCCCUGCCCCAGCGCUCAGACAAAACCACUUCCUCCUCCGCCCGGGCAGAAGUGGCCUGGACCCUCACGGCUGAGCUGGGGCUCCCUGCGGGCCUAUCUCCCCGGCCCAGCCCAUCCUGAGAGCCCCCACUGCAGGCUCCAGCUGGGCACCCCCACAGCCCCCUGCUCCCGAGAGCGGGGGGGGGCGGCCUUAUCUGGAGUCUGCAGGUCAACGAGGCCCAAGCAGAAGACACAGGGAACUCGUCUUGUCACUCACCCCGUGUGGCCUUGGUCCUACAGGGCCUCCAUUCUAUUGGUUCACGCACUCAUUUAUUCACGCCACAAACAUUGGUUGAGCUCCAGCUGUGGGCACCACGCCAGAUGCUGGAGAUGAAGCAGAAGACAAGAGGGGCACUGUCCCUGCCCUGCUGGGGCCUGCAGUCCCUGGGGAGACAGAUGACACACAGGGCCACAUGCAGGAAAGGCUAGUGGAAGAGGAGACAGCAAGCCAAAGGUCCUGGGUUGGGGAUGAACUCGGCACCUUGAGGAGCAGACCACAGCCAAGGAGUCCAAAAGGUGGAGACAGCCCAGACAUCCGUCAACGAAUGGAGAGAUAAAAAACGUGCACCCAGCCAUAAAAAGGACGAAGCACUGACAUAGGUACAAUAUGAUGGAUCUCCAAGACGUGAUGCUGAGUGAGAGAAGCCAGACACAGAGGGCCACACAGUGCGUGAUUCCAUGUGUAGGAAACGUCCAGAACAGACAGAUCCACAGACAGAAAGCAGACGGGUGGUGGCCAUGGGCUGGGGAGGGGAGGAGGACUGCUCAUGGGGACGGGGUGAUGAGAGUGUUCUAAAUUGACUGUGGCAAUGGUUGCACAACACUGCAAAUUACUAAAAUCCACUGAAUUGCACACUUUCGUGGGUGAAUUGUAUGGUGUGUCAAUUAUAUUUCAAUAAAGCUAUUAUAUAAAAAAAAGCCACAGUGUCACCUCUCUCAGCACAAGGGGCCAAUGGCUGAGCAGCCCCUUCCCUGCCCACCACCCCAUCAGAGUCCUUAGAACAAGGAAACCUGGUGACUGAGCGAGAGGCUGGGUGUAAUCAAGGUGGGACUGAGGACCUGGAGGGCUCCGCCUGCCCGGCUGCGGCACGGAACGCUCACCGCUCGAAGCUGUCAGCUUUUUGGAUGACUUGUUCCCCCUUAGAGACAAGAUGAGAAAAGGGAAGUGAAGUCUUCUUUAGGGGCACAACACGAACAAGGAGGCUAACGCUAAUGCUGAUAAUGAUGGUGACAAUGUUAUUGAGGAGGAGGAUGUUGACAGCUGCUAAUCUCUCUCGGCUCAGCCUUGGGCUCUUCACAGCCAUCCUGUGAGGUGGGAACUAUGACCACGCCCAUUUGACACAGGAGGGAACUGAGGCUCAGCACUCAGCUGUGCUGAGCCCUGGGUCUGAGGCCAGGCUGGGACUGGAGCCCAGGCAGCUCCCUCUGACCCAGGACCUGUGAAGGGCCCAGCAGCAAGCCAGGCAUGGGGCUGGGAAGGGGGGGGUAGGGGGGAAUGUAGGGGGCUGCCCAACCAGCGUUUGCUAUUUAUGGCCAUUAGCCAUCACUUUCUCUGAAUUCUGCGGUUCCAGGGAGGAGUGGAAAGAAAGCGGAGGUCUUCUAAAGCGGCCAUUUUCCAGGCAUCACUGGGCACUCUGAGUUUUAGAGCAAGAUUCAGGGCCCUCCUGGAGCAGGGGCCGGAGGUCCUGGGGACGGGACCGUGACAAAGCUCCCCAGAGACGCUGAUGGCAGCUAGGCCGGGGACGCCCAGGGCAGGCCCCUAAGCCCAGCAGGGGAAAGGAGUGUAUGGCAGGGCUCCCAAGCCCCUCUGAGUUGCAUUGCCCUCUCCUUGCUGAGGUUUGGGGCCCAGAGGCAGAAGCCUGGGAUGAGAGCUGCCCUCUGGGAUGUGGAGGAGGGAGGAGGUGAGCCCCUCCCUGCCCACCCCUGGAAGCCAUGUGUGUCUCCAUUCAUUUACAGGCGCAGGCCACGCAGGAACACACAGCAAAGCCCCUGUCCUCACGGAGCUUAUGUGCUGAGGGGGCACCCAGAGUUGGCCAUGAGAACAAGUGACUUCUGAUAAACGCCACCAAGAAGUUGAGGUGGGAGGAGAGAGGGAAGUGGUUGGGGGAGGUCUCUGCAUAGGUGGCCCUGGAUGUCACGACCUGAUGGACCAGUGGGGUGUGUAAAUUCAGAGGACUGCCAGACAGAGGGUGCAGCCAGUGCAAAGGCCCUGGGACAGGGAUGAGUAUGGGGGAAAGUAGUAAGGCAGGAGUGGGGCUGGAGUGGGGUGGUCCAUGGGAGGAUGCUCAGAGAAAAGGGAGGAGGUGGGCAGGGGCCCAGCACACCGGCACGCACGGUGAGGGCGUGAGUUGUAUUUAAGUACAAGAGGGAGCUGGGGGUGACACCAUCUGAUUCCGAUUUCCUAUGGAUACCCUGAAAACACCCUGAAGGACAAAGCAGAGGCUGGGACAGAGGUCCAGGGGGUGGUGGCUCCAGUGUGGGAGGGGGAGGAGGACGGAGCCCAAGGUAAGAGCUCUCUCUCGGCUGUGUUCUGUUUAGGGCGCCGAUUGGACAUCUGAAUUGGGACAGACGGUGGGCAGGUGGCCAGGGGCCUCUAGAGCUCCGAGUCGGGGCUGGGCUGGACCCGCAGUCCGGAGUCCCUGGCAUGUCUAAGGCCUAUGGGUGGGGCUGGCUCUCGGCUGGCAUCUGGGAACGAGGCUGGGAAACAGCUCCCUCUGCUGAGACACAACUUUCCCCCCAGGAUGGGUGGCUCACUACUGUGCCUGAACGGUCUGUACAAACUAUGUGCUUUAUGCUAAAGCCCUGCUUUCUUCCUGGGAAGCUGGGAUUCCGGUACAUCUGGGCAGAGGGGGCCGGCAUGACCAGCCCCAAUAGAAACCCUGGGCGCUGAGUCUCUCAGGAGCGUGCCCAGGGGACCACACUUCACACGUGUGGUCACAGCUUGGCGACAGAGGAACUAAGUACAUUGGGCAGGACCCCACAGGGAGAAGGCUCCUGGCAGCUUGCGCCUGGUUUCCUCGGGACGUGGCCCCAUGUGCCUUUUCCCUGUGCCAAUCUUCCUUUGCAGCCUUCUGCUGUAACCCAUCCGCUAUGUGCCGAGUUCCAGUGGACCAUGAACCUGGGCGUGGUCUUGGGGACACCCAACAGAGUGGAAGGAACUCCCUGGGGAGCCAGUCUGGAGGAGUGGGCCCUGGAGGAGCCACCAGGGAGGUGGGAGGCGAACGGUGGCCGAGCCGGGUGCCAGCAGCCAAGGGAGGAAGGUGUGCAGAGGGGAGGAGAGGAGCUCAGACCAAGCACUCAACGGGGUGAAAGGGGGCCAGUGGGGACCAAGACAAGAGAAUCCAGUGGCAUGCUGGAGACAGACGCUGCCAGCUGGGGAUGCGGUAUGCCGAGGCGGAGCCGUGAGGGGUGACACCCCUUGUUUCCUGUGAAAGGGGCGCAGUGCUGUGGGGGCGGGGUGGGAAGCUUGUUUCUCCAAGUCAACCCUUUGAUAACAGUGUCAUCUCCUCAGAACGUGGGGUGACCGUUUCCUCCAGCUUGGGCUAAGCCACUGCCUCUGCUCUGAGCUUGUCCAGACCUGAGGCCCCGCCCGCCUCGGGUUCCUGCGAACCCCCAUCUACCACCUGGCCACAUCCGUGCGCCCACUGGGAAAAUGUGGACGGAAAACUCCGCGAACUUUAACAUGAGCUUUAAUUUGUUUUCCUUAAGUGCAUUUAUUGAUGUAAACAGAGCAUGUUAAGAGAUCCCAGGGAAGAGCAGACUAUGGCUGGUAUGUUGGUUUUAAUUCAAAAAAAGAGCAAACUAUGAUCCCAAUGUCUUGGACUGACAGCAGCUUGGGGGUAGGCGGGGAGAAAGAAAAACACAGGCUCCCUGAUGACGCCCCUCUGGCCUGGUUCCCUGGUCCAAGCUGUGCAGUCUCUGUGGGAAGGCAGAGCUGUCAAAGCAGAACCAUGCGACUGCAGUCAAGAACCACCCCAGAAGUUCUGCGGUCAGUCUGUCACGCGGGCCACCUGGGGCCUCGGCCACGCCAGGCGCUGCCUCGCGCUCUUAGCCACGUCCAGCCGGGCGUGUGCGCAUGUCCCCGAUCACCUGGGUCUGCCAUUAGAGAUCAGAGACGGAAUCACUUCAUGGCACCACAGAUCUGGAAAAAUAAAAAUCUCAGCUA